rnacentral:lncRNA from 1 species
AGACUUCUGGUUCUAUAAGAGACCUUCAAGCAGGGAUAAUUCAAAUCCUUGCAAUAAUGUUUCUCUUAGAGAAUGUCCUGGUUCCUAUCAUGAAGAAGUCGAGGAUGACAUAUCAAGUGAAGGAGAGCUAAGCCAUAUAGACAAUUCUAUCUACUCCCCUUCCAUGUUCACAUGUUCUAAAUCCAUCCUUGACCUUAGAGAUCCCUCUUAUCCCUCUUCUUUUCAGUCUCAUGAUGAUCCUAGCAAUUCACCAAGACGACCAAACCAUAGGAGUCAUGAAGACCAUAAGGAUGGCAUGUCAAGUAAUGCCAU